UGCUAAGCUUCCAGGAAUUUUGCAUU
rnacentral:piRNA from 1 species